AGUAACACGUGGAUAACCUACCUAUAAGACUGGGAUAACUUCGGGAAACCGUAGCUAAUACCGGAUAAUAUUUUGAACCGCAUGGUUCAAAAGUGAAAGACGGUCUUGCUGUCACUUAUAGAUGGAUCCGCGCUGCAUUAGCUAGUUGGUAAGGUAACAGCUUACCAAGGCAACGAUGCAUAGCCGACCUGAGAGGGUGAUCGGCCACACUGGAACUGAGACACGGUCCAG
rnacentral:rRNA from 1 species